CAUGACGCUCGUGCACAACAGCGCCUCGUAAACCUGUCAGCUGAGCUCGUGCACAACAGCGCCUCAAAUAUAAGCCCAGUGGCCUGACAUCUGAGCUCGUGCGCAUGAGAGGCCGCCGCGAUUCCAGCCAAUCAGAGAGCAGGAAGCAAGGCCAUCGUUCCCAUAGACUAGACAUAGCCGGCGGGAGGAAACCGGGACAGAGCAGCGUAAUCAAUUAAUUUAUAUCCUCCUCCAGCCUGCGUCUCUGGCAGAAGGUCUGAAGGAUUUGUCUUCUAUUCGUCUGAGGUCGAAUAAAUUUUCCAUUGAACUUCAAGACGUCAGUUAUGAGUGUUCAGAUGGUGUGAAUGUGAGUGCUGAAGUGUGUUGGUCUGAUGAUCAGCACCAUGGACAGAGACUCAGAAAUGCUUCAGUGGAAAUAUGAAAACCAACAACAGUUCACUGGUGCUUCUGCUUGCGUCCAAAUACCC
ensembl:lncRNA